rnacentral:rRNA from 1 species
AUCAACUUUCGAUGGUAGGAUAGAGGCCUACCAUGGUGGUAACGGGUAACGGGGUGUUAGGGCACGACACCGGAGAGGGAGCCUGAGAAACGGCUACCACAUCCAAGGAUGGCAGCAGGCGCGCAAAUUACCCAAUCCCGACACGGGGAGGUAGUGACAAUAAAUAACAAUACGGGGUCCUUUCGGGUUUCGUAAUUGGAAUGAGUACAAUUUAAAUCUCUUAACGAGGAACAAUUGGAGGGCAAGUCUGGUGCCAGCAGCCGCGGUAAUUCCAGCUCCAAUAGCGUAUAUUAAAGUUGUUGCAGUUAAAAAGCUCGUAGUUGAAUUUCGGGAUCAGUACGCCGGUCGUGCCUUCGGUAUGCACUGGUGUCACUGGUUUCUCCCUUCUGAAGAACCAUCAUGCCAUUCAGUUGGUGUGGCGGGGAAUCAGGACUGUUACUUUGAAAAAAUUAGAGUGUUUAAAGCAGGCUCGCGCUUGAAUACAUUAGCAUGGAAUAAUGAAAUAGGACGUUUGACCCUAUUUUGUUGGUUUCUAGGAUCGACGUAAUGAUUAAUAGGGAUAGUUGGGGGCAUUAGUAUUCAAUUGUCAGAGGUGAAAUUCUUGGAUUUAUUGAAGACUAACUACUGCGAAAGCAUUUGCCAAGGAUGUUUUCAUUAAUCAAGAACGAAAGUUAGGGGAUCGAAGACGAUCAGAUACCGUCGUAGUCUUAACCAUAAACUAUGCCGACUAGGGAUCGGAUGAUGUUAAUUUUUUAAUGACUCAUUCGGCGCCUUACGGGAAACCAAAGUGUUUGGGUUC